rnacentral:rRNA from 1 species
GAUGAACGCGGCGGCGUGCUUAACACAUGCAAGUCGAACGAGAGAUACAGGAGGAAGUUUUCGGACGGAAUCCGGUAGAUCGAGUGGCGGACGGGUGAGUAACGCGUGGGGAACCUGCCUCAUACAGGGGGAUAACAGUUGGAAACGACUGUUAAUACCGCAUAAGACCACAGAGUCGCAUGACUCAGGGGUAAAAACUCCGGUGGUAUGAGAUGGACCCGCGUUCGAUUAGCCAGUUGGCGGGGUAACGGCCCACCAAAGCGACGAUCGAUAGCCGAUUUGAGAGAAUGACCGGCCACAUUGGGACUGAGACACGGCCCAAACUCCUACGGGAGGCAGCAGUGGGGAAUAUUGCACAAUGGGGGGAACCCUGAUGCAGCGACGCCGCGUGAGUGAAGAAGUAUUUCGGUAUGUAAAGCUCUAUCAGCAGGGAAGAAGAUGACGGUACCUGAGUAAGAAGCCCCGCA